UACGGAGGGUGUGAGCGUUAAUCGGAAUUACUGUUCGUAAAGCGCGCGUAGGCGGCUUGAUAAGCUGGUUGUGAAAGCCCCGGGCUCAACCUGGGAACGGCAUCCGGAACUGUCAGGCUAGAGUGCGGGAGAGGAAGGUAGAAUUCCCGGUGUAGCGGUGAAAUGCGUAGAGAUCGGGAGGAAUACCAGUGGCGAAGGCGGCCUUCUGGACUGACACUGACGCUGAGGUGCGAAAGCGUGGGUAGCAAACAGG
rnacentral:misc_RNA from 1 species